rnacentral:lncRNA from 1 species
GCCAAUGUGUCUCUGAUUCUUUCUCUUGCUACAUUGUUUUUUCUUCCCAAGCAGGCACUGAUGGUCUCAGGGCAGGGGGUGUUCUUGAGAGAAGACUAGGUCCUGAUUUAUAGAUGCUUCUGCACACUAUGCAAGCACCACUCAGAAGCAGGCAGCUGCAACAUUAUGGUGUCUUUCUUGCACAACUCUGAAGGAAUGUCCUGAAGGGAACUCUUCACAGUGGACAGAAGUCCAGGCAGUGCACAUGGUUGUACAUUGUGCUUAGAAAAGUAGCCAGAUGUGAAAUUAUGCCCUGACUCAUCUGUAACUAUUGGUUUGGCUGGAUGGUCAUGAACUUUGAAAGCAGUAUGAUUGGAAGAUUGAUAGGAAGAUACUUGGACAAGAGUUCAUUGGAUUAAACACUCACAAAUGGUUCUUUUAGCAGAGAAGAGUUUCAGUGAUCAAGGAGUAGGAUCGCUUGUUCUGAGGAUAAUGGACAUCCCAGUAAGUACAAGCACAGCCUUGCAGUGGUCAUAGCACUAGGGGUUAUGUGUGUGCAUGGUCUACCAUUCACUGUGGCUGACCUGGUGACAGUGCUCUAAAGUGUUAAGUAUACUGUCAUGCAGAUCUGUGUCUGCGAGGCCUGGAAUCUGGGGACCUGAAAGAAUGGGGUGGACUUCAGUCUAACACUGUAGACAGCCUUACUUCAGCCUCAGUGUGCUUUUAUACAUGAAUGAAACAAAACAGUGAAUGAUCCAGGGAAGGCUGUUUGAGUUAAAAAUCAAAACCAAAUAUGAUCAGAAAAAUCACAUAAAUAAAUGUCAGUAAGCACAUACUAAAUAUUGACAGAGUAGCCCUUUUCCAGAACUUUCUCAGGUCAGACCAGUUUAAACACAAUUGUCUGGCAUGUACUAUAGAUUAUAUCUGGGAAAGCAUGAAAGCAAGGUAGGAGGCCAUAUUCAGGAUACAGUGACCAGACUGGGUUCUAUGGCUAAGAUCUUUUUUUUUUUCUUCCAAUUUUUUAUUAGGCAUUUUCUUCAUUUACAUGCUAUUGCUUCAUUUACAUUCAAAUGCUAUCCCGAAAGUCCCCUAUACCCUCCCCACUGCUUCCCUACCCACCCACUCCCACUUCUUGGCCCUGUUGUUCCCCUGUACUGGGGCAUAUAAAGUUUGCAAGACCAAGGGGCCUCUCUUCCCACUGAUGGCCGACUAGGCCAUCUUCUGCUACAUAUGCAGCUAGAGACACGAGCUCUGGGGGUACUGGUUAGUUCAUAUUGUUGUUCCACCUAUAGGGUUGCAGAUCCCUUAGCUCCUUGGGUACUUUCUCUAGCUCCUCCAUUGGGGGCCCUGUGUUCUAUCCAAUAGCUGACUGUGAGCAUCCACUUCUGUGUUUGCCAGGCAGUUGCAUAGUCUCACAAGAGACAGCUAGAAUAAACAUGUCUUAUAAAUUGAAUGUGUUUGUCAUAAGAGGCAUGAAAUCAAGUCUUAAGAACAAUCCAGAACAAAAUGAACCUGAGGUAAAAGGCCCUCUCUGUCUAUUUUUCUGGAGCUUCUCUCAUAGUUCCUCAAGGUAUUGUUCACCAUGCAUCAUUCUUUUGAUCAUGUUCUGACAGUAUACCAAUGGUAGAAGCAAUAUGGUUCCAUUUACCAUGGUGACCAUGUCUUGUGGCAAGUGACCUACAUUGGGCCACUUUUGACAUGGAAGGUGCAUAACUAUUUUCACUGAAAUGGAUACUUUGGAUAUGGAUUUGCCUUUCCUGCACGAAAUGAAUGCUUUCACCUAAACUACCAUCCAAGGAGCUACAGAGUGCCUUAUACAUCAUCGUGACUUCCCACAAAGCAUCACUCAUGACCAAUGAACUCUUUACAGUUAAAGAAAUUCAGCACUGUGCUUGUGCCUGUGGAAUGUAGUUUUAUUUCAAUGUUUUCUACCAUUUGUAGCAGAUGUCAUUAGAGGCCUAUUACAGAUGCAGAGUUCCAACUUUGAGGCAAUAGCCUGAAGGUCUGGAUUUGGGUGUUUAGAUGGCUUUAUAUUUAGAUGGCUUUAUAUUUAUAUGUUCAGUGAAUGGUAUGCUUUCUCCUACAGAUAGGAGUAAAUGGUCUGGGAUUCAAAGGCAGAAGGGGUAUGGCACCACUCACCUUCGUAAAAUAUCCUAGCCAUAUGUCCCUUAAAACUUGCUGUUUUCUCCUGGCCACGUGCUCAACGUCCAUCUCCUCUCAUGGCAGCUUUCUCCUCUCCUGUCUUCUUUUGUCUCAUCUCUACCUGUGACCCCCAGCCAGGUAACUGAAAACCCACCUACCUCUAUCUACUGCCCAAUCAUAGCCUCUAGCUUUUUAUUGACCAAUUAACUUGGGGAGCAUGGUUACAUAGUAUCACUUGGUAUAUAUGAGGAUCUCCUUGUGGGGGGCGGGCAACCAGAUCUUAGGGGCCAUUAUUUAGCAUUUGAAUACGUAGCAACACCAGAGCAACCCCCUACACACCAUCACUAGGGUUUUACUAGCAAAGAUGUUGCCCAUAACUCCCAAGACUGUAUGAUUUAUGCUGGAAUAGAAGACUAGUUUCCAGAACAGAGGGUGCUUCUGUCAAGAAGUUCAGCAAACAUUUCAUUAAUAUAAAGUUUGUGGUUUCCCCUGGAACCAUGGGGUUCUUGAAUCACCAGACUUAGGAAGGAAUUAUAGCAUCACCACGGGUGAUGUAGAUGACCAGGGAGAAAUUUCAUCCUGCUCCAUAAUCCAAGAGAGUGUGACUGGUUCAGGAGGUUCUUGAGGGUGUCUCUUGGUGUUGUCACAUCCUCUAAUUAAGGCCAAUAAGAAAGUGCAAAAGCCUGGUGUACCGGCUGGUUUUGUGUCAACUUGACACAGCUGGAGUUAUCACAGAGAAAGGAGCUUCAGUUGAGGAAAUGCCUCCAUGAGAUCCAGCUGUAAGGCAUUUUCUCAAUUAGUGAUCAAGGGGGAAAGGCCCCUUGUGGGUGGUGCCAUCUCUGGGCUGGUAGUCUUGGGUUCUAUAAGAGAGCAGACUGAGCAAGCCAGGGGAGGCAAGCCAGCCAGUAAGGAACGACCCUUCAUGGCCUCUGCAUCCAAGCUCCUGCUUGAGUUCCAGUCUGACUUCCUUGGUGAUGAACAUCAAUAUGGAAGUGUAAGCUGGAUAAACCCUUUCCUUCCCAACUUGCUUCUUGGUCAUGAUGUUUGUGCAGGAAUAGAAACCCUGUCUUAGACACCUGGCAAGGCAGGGUGAUAAAUAUGCCAUCCCCUUCAGAAGUUAAUGCGUGGGUCAUUCCUUUAGAAAUGAACCUAGACUUGAGUUUUGGAGGAAUACAGUAUGGAUAGGAAAAGAAGUAGUUUUAAAUACUAUGUAUGGCAGUGUGAUCCCUGAUGGAAGUGUUUUAAUUAUCAAAUGCACUUUGUUAAUUAUAUUUGUUGAUGAUGUUCAAGGUUUUGAGAAAUAGCUCAUUUGCUUCCAUUCUUUCUGUGCAAGUAUUAGGACAUGUGUAGUACUUCCCUCCUAAUUGAAACGUUCCCUCCAGGAGGUAGGGAUGCUCAGUAGACUCAGGAGGUAAAUGUCACAUGUCCCCAAAAGAUGAAACUGCAAGAUUCUCUGUAGCUCCUUACACAACUUUAUAAAUAAACUAAAAAACUUUUUGGAGCAGAGACUGUUGAGAGAUUUCUGGGACCUGCUGCUACCUGCAUAUUGAACAAAGAGCUCCAGGGUUGAAGGUGACUGGACUUUUUGGUGAUAGGCUGCUUUAACUCAUCUGUGUUCCUUUAAGUCACCCUGUACCCUUACUCAAUAUGGUGUUAGUAACCGUACCAAAUAGGCUAGAGAGAUGACUUACCAAGUAAAAACAUGUAUUCCUUUUAGUAGAGGACCCAAACUUGUAUAUGGUACACCUCCUACCUCCAUCCU